AUUGAACGCUGGCGGCAGGCCUAACACAUGCAAGUCGAGCGGGGUUUUCGGACCUAGCGGCGGACGGGUGAGUAAUGCGUAGGAAGCUGCCCGAUAGAGGGGGAUACCAGUUGGAAACGACUGUUAAUACCGCAUAAUGUCUACGGACCAAAGUGUGGGACCUUCGGGCCACAUGCUAUCGGAUGCGCCUACGUGGGAUUAGCUAGUUGGUGAGGUAAUGGCUCACCAAGGCGACGAUCUCUAGCUGGUUUGAGAGGAUGAUCAGCCACACUGGAACUGAGACACGGUCCAGACUCCUACGGGAGGCAGCAGUGGGGAAUAUUGGACAAUGGGCGCAAGCCUGAUCCAGCCAUGCCGCGUGUGUGAAGAAGGCCUUCGGGUUGUAAGGCACUUUCAGCGAGGAGGAAGGGUGUUGUGUUAAUAGCACAGCAUUUUGACGUUACCUACAGAAGAAGCACCGGCUAACUCUGUGCCAGCCGCCGCCGUAACAC
rnacentral:rRNA from 1 species